rnacentral:lncRNA from 1 species
AUGCAUUUGAUUAAGAAUAUACAAUUAAAUCACUGGGUUUCUAUUUUUUUGGAUAGCAGCUUCACAGAGUUAUAAUUCUCAUACCAUACAAUUACUCUAUUUAAAGUGUUUAAUUAAAUGAUUUUUAGUAUAUUUAGAAUUUUCAGUCAUCAUCACAAUUAAUUUUAGAACAUUUAUAUCACAUCAAACAGAAACCUCAUACCUCUUACUAUUGCCCCCUAGAUCCCUAGCCCUAGGCAAUUCCUGAUCUAUUUGUGUGUGUGGGUGUAUGCAUAUGUAUUUAUGCACAUUUAUAUUUGUUCUGGAAAUUUAAUAUAAAUAGAAUCAUAUAUUCCACCCUUCGGCUGUGUUCUCAACAGAAUCAUACAGUGAUUUUUUUGUGGCUGGUAGCUUUCACUUAGUAUAAUACUUUCAAGGUUAAUCCACUGUGACAUGUAUCAAUAAUUCAUUCCUUUUUGUGGCUGAAUAAUACUUCAUCAUAUACUGGUACACCUGAAUAUCCUACAUGUAUUUAUCUAUCAAAUGAUAGAUAUUUGAGCUGUUUUUACCUUUUGGAGAUUGUGAAUAAUAUUUCCAUGAACCUUUGUGUGUAGAUUUUUAUGUGGACAUAUAUUUCGUUUCCCUUGUGUAUAUACCUAGGAGUGGAAUUGCUGCGUCAGACUCUGUGUUUCACUUUUUGAGGAACUAUCAGACAUUUUUUCAAAGGGGCUGCACCGUUGUACAUUCCUACCUAUGAAGUGUGAGGGCUUCUGAUUCUUCAUAUCCUUUCCAACACUUGUU